UGGAGUACCGGGCUCGGCGCCGGGGGCGCUCCGGGCACGGUACCGGGCCCGUUCCCGGCCGUCUCCCGGCGCGGUGCGGACACGUUCCCGGCUCGGACACGGCGUUCGGCCGAGGGCCCGUGCCGGGCUCCGGGGGGCAGGGCUCCCUGCAGGGCUGGAGGCAGGACGAGAGUCCGUGCAGGACCGAUGGCCGCGGACUGGGAGGAGAGGCCCUUGACAGGCGGGGGACCCUGCUGGGGUCCCGGGCCGGGCGGGGGGUGAGCGGUCCCAUGCAGGAGGGGCUGCUGGGGGCAGCGCAGGAGAUACACAAAGGUUAACAACCGUGAACGAACAUCAACUGCAGACGUCACUCCUCGAAUAGGAAACCAAACACAGAACGUUGACACUUGGGACAAAUGGACAAUGAACCAAUGAAUUUCUAUGUGCUUUGGCUGUAUAAAAUAUGUAGAAAAUGUAGUAAAAUUCAUGUGUCAUGGAAUGAUUUUUCUCUGCACAACCCAGGACAUAUGUGGAUGAAACAAUUUCUGUUGCACAUCCUGGCCAGAAUAAAGCAAUGCCUUGAUUCUCUCACA